GGACCAGGGGAAUCCGACUGUUUAAUUAAAACAAAGCAUCGCGAAGGCCCGAGGUGGAUGUUGACACGAUGUGAUUUCUGCCUAGUGCUCAAUGUCAAAGUGAAGAAAUUCAAUGAAGUGCAGGUAAGCGGCGGGAGUAACAAUGACUCUCUUAAGUAGUCCUUAGCCUUAGUAAGGGAGAUAACGAGGUAGCC
rnacentral:ncRNA from 1 species